rnacentral:rRNA from 1 species
UACGUAGGGUGCGAGCGUUAAUCGGAAUUACUGGGCGUAAAGGGUGCGUAGGCGGCUUCCUAAGUUUGAUGUGAAAUCCUGGGGCUCAACCCUGGAACUGCAUUGAAUACUGGGAGGCUAGAGUACUGGAGAGGAAACUGGAAUUUACGGUGUAGCAGUGAAAUGCGUAGAGAUCGUAAGGAAGACCAGUGGCGAAGGCGAGUUUCUGGACAGUUACUGACGCUGAGGCACGAAGGCCAGGGGAGCAAACGGG